UACGAAGGGGGCAAGCGUUGUUCGGAAUUACUGGGCGUAAAGGGCGCGUAGGCGGCGCGGUAAGUCACUUGUGAAAUCUCUGAGCUUAACUCAGAACGGCCAAGUGAUACUGCAGUGCUAGAGUGUGGAAGGGGCAAUCGGAAUUCUUGGUGUAGCGGUGGAAUGCGUAGAGAUCCGAAAGAACACCGGAGGCGAAGGCGGCUUGCUGGGCGUGAUCUGACGCUGAGGCGCGAAAGCGUGGGGAGCGAACAGG
rnacentral:rRNA from 1 species